CUUGGUCAUUUAGAGGAAGUAAAAGUCGUAACAAGGUCUCCGUUGGUGAACCAGCGGAGGGAUCAUUACCGAGUUUACAACUCCCAAACCCUAUGCAAACCUACCAAAGUUGCUUCGGCGGCCUAUAAUCGCCCCGGGCGCCCCCAAAGCGCCCCGGACCCAGGCGACCGCCGGAGGCCCCAAACUCCUGAAUUACAGUGGAUAUUCUGAGUGGCAUAAGCAAAUAAAUCAAAACUUUCAGCAACGGAUCUCUUGGUUCUGGCAUCGAUGAAGAACGCAGCAAAAUGCGAUAAGUAAUGUGAAUUGCAGAAUUCAGUGAAUCAUCGAAUCUUUGAACGCACAUUGCGCCCGCCAGUAUUCUGGCGGGCAUGCCUGUCUGAGCGUCAUUUCAACCCUCGGGACCCCGUUCGCGGGACCCGGCGUUGGGGAUCAGCCCGAAGCCCUUGCGGCAGGCGGCUGGCCCCGAAAUCUAGUGGCGGUCUCCCCAGCGACCUCCUCUGCGUAGUAGUAACUCACCUCGCAGCUGGACAGCGGGAAGGCCACGCCGUAAAACCCCCAACUCUUACAAGGUUGACCUCAGAUCAGGUAGGAAUACCCGCUGAACUUAAGCAUAUCAAUAAGCGGAGGA
rnacentral:rRNA from 1 species